rnacentral:rRNA from 1 species
UACAGAGGGUGCAAGCGUUGUUCGGAAUUAUUGGGCGUAAAGCGCGUGUAGGCGGCUUUGCAAGUCGGGUGUGAAAGCCCUCAGCUUAACUGAGGAAGUGCGCCCGAAACUGCUUGGCUUGAGUACCGGAGAGGAUGGCGGAAUUCCACAAGUAGAGGUGAAAUUCGUUGAUAUGUGGAGGAACACCGGUGGCGAAGGCGGCCAUCUGGACGGAUACUGACGCUGAGACGCGAAAGCGUGGGUAGCAAACAGG